GCAUAAGACAUAAAAGGGAUCAAUAAGGCUCAGAACAUAACCUAGCCUCAUUCAUGAUCCUGCGUAUCCUUACUCUUCCAUUUCCCAACAUCACACUAGAGUAUUCAAUAGCUCUGCCACACCGAAGCUCUAUACCGGCAGCGGCGGAGCACGUGAGGAUUCAACCGUAUACCACUCCACUUUCUUCGCCUCGCUUAAACCGAAUCCAAAUACGACUCCGUCUAAUUCCUACUACAACUCACAGAUUGAAUCCAAACGAAAAUGAAAAUGAAAACUAGGCAAAUACGGAUCAAGGGAAGUGUUCUUACCGUGGCGACCGAAGAAACUCAGAUGAGUAUCCAAUGGAGCAUUGUGGUUUGUAGUCUUGGCCUGAACUGAUAUAACAAGUCCUCCUAACAUGCUCUGAUGAUGAAUGUUUGCAGAUCACAUCCUAAUAGCGUGGCCUCAUUUCUGACUUACCUCAAGUUUUGUUCCUAGUUUUUUAUGAAGUGAUUCACCUGGGUUGUGUCGCACUGCGGAUUUUUUGGCAUGUCAAAGUUUGAAAUAUUUAUGGUGAAGCUUACUAAAAAGGGCAAGAAAAAAGGAGAUUGCAACAUGGAGGAACCACAAGGAUGAAGUUACAAUAGAAUGUAGGACUUCGGACCUUAGUGAGAAAGUGUAAGUUGACUUUGGUCAAAGUUGACCAAAAAGUCAAUUGUUGACCAAAGUCAACUUUGGUCAAAUUUGUCAUUCAGUUUUUUUGUAUUCUUCUUUUUUUGUAAGAAUGAUGUAAAUGAUAUUGUAAUAGGAAUUAAGGACAUAGUUUGCGGUCAUAUAAGGCUUAUAUAGAAAUGUAUGUAAUUUGGUUCAUGGUUGGAAUUUGUAUCAAAUUUUGGAAUUGUGUGGUUGGACAUGAUUUUUUUGAAUGAAAGAUAAAUGGAACUUAUAAUGA